rnacentral:lncRNA from 1 species
UGCAAGAGUUCCGGUCUGGCAGAGAGCGCGGAGAGACGCAGAGCGCGGGCCGCUCCUCCAGGGCCCUCCAGGGCCCUCCGGCCCCGGGUCGGCGGGUGAGCUAGGGGGCGCCCCGGGACAGGCCGCGCCCUCUGCCCUGCAGAUACCGGAGGCCUCUGCUGUGGCUGCCCACUGGCUGGGCCCAGGCCUUGAAGCGGUGGCGAACCUCUCUUCCCUACCCUACCUCGGUGACUGAUGGCGGCGGCGGCCUCUCCCAGUCCGGACCCUGCCGGCCGUCGGGUCUCCCGGCCCAAGCCUGCCGGGCCUGGACGAAACCCCCGCCGAGCAGCCUGGACGCAGCGCCUUUGGGUGGCGGCGGGAGUAGCGUGCCGGGAAGCAUGGCGGCCGCUCGAACGCCGCGCGGCGGAGGGCGUUAGGGCAUGGAGGGCCCGGGAAGGCGGCCUAGGGACGCAGGCAGGCUCGGCCGCCUCUUCAGGCCACGGAGCCGCCAGAUCUGGGUCCCGGGUGACCACUCUGUCGCCAUUGGGCGAGACCUACCUAGUCCUAACGACAACGGACAAAGGCCUUAACGGGCCUGGGAGGUGAGCGAAGUCCCGAACGACGACGGGUGGAACGGUUAGCGGCGAUCGGGCGGUUGGUCUCCGUACUACCAGACCUUGCUGUCGGAAGAGACAAAUGGUAGAAUGACAGGCCACGUUUGGCCCGUUGGAAAUGCCCUCCAUCCUCUGGGAAGAUUCACUGGCCGUUUACGGAAGGCCUGUGUAUAUAAUAUGAAAAAGCUGCUCUCAACUCCACCCCAACCUUUAAAUAGAAAACAUUUGUCACAUCUAGCCCUUCUAGAUGGAAAGAGGUUGCCGACGUAUGAUAGAGUUAGAAAGUCACACAUCUUGUAAAUUCUCAUUUGUUUAAAAGAAAUCAUAGAAAAUACAUGUCUUCUGGAGUUGACUUUUGGAAACUGAGUUGUUAGACGGCCUCUAGAAGCGAUACGUUCACGUUUGUUCAGUGGGUUAGAUGACAUGGAGCUCGAAGACCUGAGAAGGAAAAAAAGAAGGUUCUAUGCUAGACUGGUCAUAUUUAGAAGACAUUUUCAUAUUCUAUCCAUUGUUUUGUGUGCAUUCGCUUCCUCACUACUAUGUAUAUAGUUGACAAUGCUAAGCUUUUUUGAAAUGUCUAUUCUUUUUAGAUAUUCUGAAGUGUCUGAUAUAUGUUAAAAUUAGAGGUAGUAAAACCACAUUUUGUAAAUAUCUUUUUGUUACAAUUCAUAGGAAUGUUGUUUUUUGGGGGGAAUGGCCAAAUCACCUGUUGAGUAAUACUCAUUGUGUUUGUGCAGUGGUUCAGGGGAGGAGAGAGGAGGGGGAGGUGCAGAGAGCUCUAUGCCAUCCUGCUUACAGCGAGGCAAGAUGAAUCACUAUGUCUGUGCAUUUUGUUUUAUCUAUGUAUAUAAUGUACAUAAAGGACAAACGAGUCCUAAUUUACAACAUCUAGUCUUUCUGGAUGUUAAAGAGGUUGCCAGUGUAUAACAAAACUAGAGUUAGUAAACUAAUAUAUUUUGUACAUUUUGUUUUACAAGUCCUAGGAAAGACUGUCUUCUGAAAAUUUGAGCAUUCUUGCCCACUGGGUUGAUGGAGAUGGGAAGGGUUCUAGGCCAGAAUGUUCACAUUUGGAAGACUCUUUCAAAGUAUAACUGUUGUUACAUGUUUGCAGUUUAUUCAAGACUGCUGUGUACAUACAUAGUGGACAAAUUAACUCCUUACUUGAAACAUUUAGACUAUCUAGAUGUUUAGAAGUGCCCGAUGUAUAUUAAAUGUAGAGGUAGUAAAAUACCACUUUGUAAAUAUCUUUUUGCUAAAAUUCAUAGGAAAUACUUUUGGAAGUUGAAUUGUGAAGCCACCUUUGUGAGCAGUAUAUUACUGUCUAUACUUGCUCAAUGGUUUAGAGGAGGUGGGAGGGAAGAAAUUGCAAAAGAUAAUAUGCUAGUGUGUUCAUACUUGGACAUUUUCAGACACCAUUUUUUCUGUAUGUUUUGUGCAUUUUGUUUUGCUCUGUAUAUAGUGUAUAUAAUGGACAAAUAGUCCUAAUUUUUUAACAUCUAGAGGUUGCCAGUGUAUGACAAAGUAGUAAAAUUAGCAUAUUUUGUAUGCUUUGUGUUGAAAUUCAUAGGAAAACUUGUCUUCUGUAAUUGACUUUUGCAUAGGAAUUUGUUCAGCCAUCUCUAAGCAUUACACAUGCGUGUACUUGUCCACUGAAUUGAAGGCAGAGAAGGAAGAGAAGAGGGAAUGAUUCAAGGCCAAAAUGGUCACAUUUAGAAGAUACCUUAGAUGAUAACCAUUGUUAUGUGUGUGCAGUUUUAUUUAACAGUGCCGUGUGCAUGGUGGACAAGCUAUGAAAUAUCUAGUCUUUAGAUAUUUGGAAGUGCUUGAUGUAUUUUAAAGUAGUAGUAGUAGAAUAACACUUUUUGUAAAUAGCUUUUAAAAACUGAUGGGAAAUGCUGUUUGGAAGUGGAUUUGUUGAACCACCUGGGAGGUGGGAGGGAAAAAAUUGCAAAAGGUGUUUUGCCAUUGUUUAUUAGAAAAUUUCAGCUUAAUCCAUUACCUAUAUGUUACAAGCAUUUCAUUUAACUUUGCUAUACUGUAUAUAUUGUGUAUAUACUGGACAAAUGAGUCCUGAUUUUAUAAUAUCUAGUCUGUAGCUAUUAAAGAGGUUGCCAGUGUAUGACAAAAGUAGUAAACUAACGCAUUUUGUACACUUUGUUAAAAUUCAUAGAGAGGCUGUCUUCUGAAAAGGACUUUUUGGAAGUGAAAUGAUAACAUCAGCUCGAAGUGACACAUGUGCUUAUAUCCACCAGGUUGGUGGUGGAGAGGAGUUGGAAGGAAUGAAGGGUUCUAGACCAGAAUGUUCCUAUUUAGAAGACACUUUCAGAUAUAACCACUGUUACAUGUGUGUAGUUUAUUCGACAGUGCUAUGUAUAUAGUGGACACACUUAAGUCCUUAUUUGAAAUAUCUAGUCUUUCUAGAUGUUUAGAAGUGCACAAAGCAUGUUAAAAGUAGAGGUAGUAAGUAACACAUUUUGUAGUUAUCAUUUUGAUAUGAAAUAUUGUCUUGGAAAUUGAUCAAUUCUCUGAGAAGUACACGUUAUGAUAUUUGUGCUGGUUCAGGGGGAAGGAGGAGCACAAAGUUCAAAGGGCUUUCUGCCAGUGUCCAGUGUGUUUAUGAUGAGGCACAUUGACCAUUGUCCCUUAUGUCUGCAUUUUCGUUUACUGUGCUGUGUAUAUAAGCAGACAUAGGAGUCCUAAUUUACAUCUAGUCGAUGUUAAAGAGGUUGCCAGUGUAUGGCAAAAGUAGAGUUAGUAAACUAAUACAUUGAGUACACUUUGUGUUAAAAUUCAUAAGGAACACUUCUUAAAAACAGAAGUAAAAUUGUUAAACGCCCCCCGCCCCCAAGCAUUACAGAUGGCUUAUAGCUGUCAACGGGGUUGGUAGAGGUCAGAAAGGGAAGUGUUCUAGGCCAGAAUGUUCCUACUUAGAAGACACUCAAAUUAUAGUCUAUGUUAAGUAUAUAUGCCAUUUAUUCAAUACUACUGUGUAUAUAAUGGAAAACUUAAGUGCAGUUUGAAACAUCUAGUCUUUCUAGGUGUUUAAAAGUGCACAAUGGUCAGGUGUGGUGGCUCACUCCUGUAAUCCUGGCACUUUGGGAGGCUGAGGUGGGCAGAUCACGAAGUCAAGGGAUCGAGACCAUCUUGGCCAACAUGGUGAAACCCCAUCUCUACAAAAAAUACAAAAAUUAGCUGGUCGUGGUGGCACGUGCCUGUAGUCCCAGCUACUCGGGAGGCUGAGGCAGGAGAAUCGCUUGAGCCCGGGAGACAGAGGUUGCAGUGAGCUGAGACCACACCACUGCACUCCAGCAUGGCGACAGAGCAAGACUGCAUCUCAAAAAAAAAAAAAAAAAAAAAAAAUUCCACAACAUAGGUUAAAAGUAGAGGGCUAAAGUAACACCCCUCUAAGCAUUUGUUUUCAGUACUUCCUAGGAGUGGUUGCAUUUGGGAAUGGAAUUGUUAAAACUUGAUGCUUAGGAGCGUAUGCUGACUAUUCACUGCGUGGUGGGGUGGGGAGGAGGAGGAGGUAUGCAGGGAGAAGGGUUCUGUGCCCCUGAGUUAGAUUAGUUCAGAUGGUCUAACCAUUGUUCUAUAUACGCAUUUUAUUGUGUUAAUAUUGUGUAUUAAAGGAUAAACAAGUCUUAAUGCUCAAAGUAUGUUAAAAAUAGGUGUAGUGAAUCAGUCCCUUUGUGAAUGUCCUAUUGUUAGUUUUUAGGAAGGCCUGUCUUCUGGGAGUGACCUUUAUUAGUCCACUUCUUGGAGCCAGACGUCCUAUACUUAGUCACUGGGGAUGGUGGAAGAGGGAGAAGAGGAAGGGCGAAGGGAAGGGCUCUUUGCUAGUAUCUCCAUUUCUAGAAGAUGGUUUUAGAUGAUAACCACAGGUCUAUAUGAGCAUUUUUAGUAAAGUGCCGGUGUUUAUUGUGGACAGAGUUUAUUAUUUUGCAACAUCUAACCUUUAUCAAUGUCCGAGGUGACAAUGUAUGAUAAAAACUAGAGCUAGUGGGCCAGGUGCGGUGGCUCAUGCCUGUAAUCCCAACAUUUUGGGAGGCUGAGGCAGGCGGAUCACAAGGUCAAGAGAUCGAGACCAUCCUGGUCAACAUGGUGAAACCCCAUCUCUACUAAAAAUACAAAAAUUAGCUGGGCGUGGUGGCGCGUGCCUGUAGUCCCAGCUUCUCAGGAGGCUGAGGCAGGAGAAUCACUUGAACCUGGGAGGCGGAGGUUGCAGUGAGCCAAUAUUGCGCCACUGCACUCCAGCCUGGGCAACACAGCAAGACUCCAUCUCAAAAAAAAAAAAAAAAAAAAAAAAACUAGAGCUAGUGAAUUAGCCAAUUUGUAAAUACCUUUGUUACAAUUGAUAGAAAAGAUGCAUCUUGGACAUGGAAUUGUUAAACCGCCUCUGAGCAGUAUAUGUCAGGACUUGUUCAUUAGGUUGGCAGCAGAGGGGCAGAAGGAAGUAUACAGGGAGAGAUGUAUGCAGAUGUGUCCAUAUGUGUCCAUAUUUACAUUUUGAUGAUAGCCAUUGAUGUAUGCAUCUCUUUUGGCUGUACUAUAGGAAUACAUUAAGUAAUUCAAUGGAAAUAUACCUUGCUAAUAUUAUAAUGGUAUAGCUCUGCUAAUGAAUUCUCUUAGAAACAUUAUACUUAGUGUAUUCUGUUGCUGUAUGUUUCAUUUUAAUUGAGCUUUAAGGGAAUGCAGCAUUUAAAUCAGAACUCUGCCAAUGCUUUUAUCUAGAGGCGUGUUGUCAUUUUUGUCUUCUAUGAAAUUUUUGUCCCAAGAAAGAUAGGACUACAUUUUUUUUUAACAGAUUAAGUUGGUGUAGUGUAUUGUUGUUUAUCAAAAUACUAAUAAAGCUUUGGGAUUUUGAAUUGGUAAAUAUUCAUGAUGUGUCAAAAAUCAUGAUACAUACUGUACAAUCUCAGUCCCAUAAGAUGGGAUGUUGUGCCUACACACACACAGGACCUAGAAGAACAUGUCAAACUGUAAACUGCUUGUGAUUGUGAAUGACUUUGUUCUUUGCUUCUUGUAAUUUUCAGUUUCCUAUAAUGCACAUAUUAACAUAUUAACUUUUUAAAAUAAAGGUUAUUUUAAAAGCCUGUUUAAAAAGAAAUCACUGGAAAA